GACGAACGCUGGCGGCGUGCUUAACACAUGCAAGUCGAACGAUGAAGCCUAGCUUGCUAGGUGGAUUAGUGGCGAACGGGUGAGUAAUACGUGAGUAACCUACCUUUAACUCUGGGAUAAGCCUGGGAAACUGGGUCUAAUACCGGAUACGACCAAUCUCCGCAUGGGGUGUUGGUGGAAAGCGUUAUGUAGUGGUUAUAGAUGGGCUCACGGCCUAUCAGCUUGUUGGUGAGGUAACGGCUCACCAAGGCGACGACGGGUAGCCGGCCUGAGAGGGUGACCGGCCACACUGGGACUGAGACACGGCCCAGACUCCUACGGGAGGGAGCAGUGGGGAAUAUUGCACAAUGGGCGCAAGCCUGAUGCAGCGACGCCGCGUGAGGGAUGACGGCCUUCGGGUUGUAAACCUCUGUUAGCAGGGAAGAAGAGAAAUUGACGGUACCUGCAGAGAAAGCGCCGGCUAACUACGUG
rnacentral:rRNA from 1 species